CUUUGCUGAGUUUCAUUUCUUGUCUGUAAAAUAGAGAUAUUACUUACCUAAUAGAAUGUAUAGCAAAAAUAUACAUGAAUGAAAAGUCCACUCAUUCAAUAGAUAUUUAUUGGCACCUACUAUGUACCAUGCACUGUCCUAGGUGCUAAGGCAUAUAGUAUGAAUAUAACAGACAUGGAACUCACUUUCUACUUGAGGGAAGACAGACAAACAAAUAAAUGAAAUAUAUUGUAUGUGAACUGGUAAUGAGUGUCAUGGAGAAAAACAAAUCAGGGUACUGGUGUAGGGAGUGCUGGGGGCUGGGAGAUAUUGCAUUUUCAAUUACAUCUCACCUGAAGGACAUGAUGGAGCAAGACAUGUGGAUAUAGGAAGGUAGGGAGGGGCUCAGGGAAGGUCACUACCCCGAUUCCUGGCUGCAGCUAUGGUUACUGUUGUAGCUCUUGUAAUGACCCAUUUUGGCGUCCCUGAAGCAGCAACUCUGACUUCUACAACUUCAGACCAGGGUCUUCCAGUGGGAUAUCUCCCUGGUUGUGAUCUGUAACUAAGCCACUAAAAGCUCUACCUUGAGCUUUCAGAUUCUUAUAAAAGCCCUGGAUAUAUAAGUAUUUUAUUUGACAUGUUCUUGAUUACAGUCCUCUCUCUCCAUUCCCUUCCUGACUGUGACACAGGUGCUGGAUGGCUGGGCUGGAGGGCAAUCUAGAACAACAGCAUCCUGUGCUUAACUCAGUUAUCACUCAUCACACUUCCUGAUACUCCGUCAUUUUCUCCAGACUAAACUUCUGAACCUCAAAUUCUUUCCUUAAGGUUAUUUCAUUGCAAGUACUCUGACACUACUAGAUCUGACACUACUAGAUCUUGUUCAGGUAAAAAGGGGAAAUUUGUCAUACGGAAGUAUUUUCAAGAUACCAAAUACAGGAAGUUUCUUUGGGCCUUAUAAGGAAGAGGAAGCUGAAAAGCUAAGAGGAUUCAUUCCUGGUGAACUCUUUUUUUUUCUCUCUUCUGUCUGUGUCAAUUCUUUUCUCCCAAAGCAAGUCAGCUUUCUGUGCAACUCCAUGUAUAUGAAUACAGAUGGCAGCCAUAAUUUUAGAGCAUGCGUAACUUCACUUUAAGAGAACAAAAAAGUCUGAGCAACUGUCUUUGAAUCCCAGUUCCAACUUCCUCAGGAGGGAGAUCAUGAAUGGCUCAGCUUGAGUCAGGUGACAACUCAUGGUGCGAUCAAGGAGUGUGGGUAGCAGGGUCACAAACCGUAACACAGGGGCUAGAGGCUGACUACUCUGGGUGAAGAAGGUAGUUCUCAAAGAAAGAAGGCAGAAUCCUUAAUCUAAAUAAAGACUCAGGAAUUAACGCUCUGUACACUGAUAAUUAUGUGAGGGGAAUUUCUAU
rnacentral:lncRNA from 1 species